UACGGGGGGGGGCAAGCGUUGUUCGGAAUUACUGGGCGUAAAGGGCUCGUAGGUGGCCAACUAAGUCAGACGUGAAAUCCCUCAGCUUAACUGGGGAACUGCGUCUGAUACUGGAUGGCUUGAGUUCGGGAGAGGGAUGCGGAAUUCCAGGUGUAGCGGUGAAAUGCGUAGAUAUCUGGAGGAACACCGGUGGCGAAGGCGGCAUCCUGGACCGACACUGACGCUGAGGAGCGAAAGCGUGGGGAGCGAACAGG
rnacentral:rRNA from 1 species